CGGACGGGUGAGUAAUGUCUGGGAAACUGCCUGAUGGAGGGGGAUAACUACUGGAAACGGUAGCUAAUACCGCAUAACGUCACAAGACCAAAGAGGGGGACCUUCGGGCCUCUUGCCAUCGGAUGUGCCCAGAUGGGAUUAGCUAGUAGGUGGGGUAAAGGCUCACCUAGGCGACGAUCCCUAGCUGGUCUGAGAGGAUGACCAGCCACACUGGAACUGAGACACGGUCCAG
rnacentral:rRNA from 1 species